GAGUUUGAUUAUGGCUCAGGACGAACGCUAGCGAUAGGCUUAACACAUGCAAGUCGAGGGGCAGCAUAAUUUUAGCUUGCUAAGAUUGAUGGCGACCGGCGCACGGGUGCGUAACGCGUAUGCAACCUGCCUGUAAUUAGGGGAUAGCUCGGUGAAAGUCGAAUUAAUACCCUAUAUUCUAUAUUUUUCGCAUGAUUGAUAUAGGAAAGAUUUAUUGAUUACAGAUGGGCAUGCGUUCCAUUAGCUUGUUGGUAAGGUAACGGCUUACCAAGGCAACGAUGGAUAGGGGGACUGAGAGGUUGACCCCCCACACUGGUACUGAGACACGGACCAGACUCCUACGGGAGGCAGCAGUGAGGAAUAUUGGUCAAUGGGCGCAAGCCUGAACCAGCCAAGUCGCGUGAAGGAC
rnacentral:rRNA from 1 species